rnacentral:tRNA from 1 species
GCGGUCGUGGCGGAAUUGGUAGACGCACCAGAUUUAGGUUCUGGCGCCGCAAGGUGUGAGAGU